AGCAGCCGCGGUAAUUCCAGCUCCAAUAGCGUAUAUUAAAGUUGCUGCAGUUAAAAGCUCGUAGUUGAAUUUCGGGACUAAUAUGUCGGUCGUGCCUCGGUACGUACUGGUUUAUUGGUUUCUCCUUUCUGAAGAACCAUGAUGUCAUUUAUUUGGUGUCGUGGGGAAUCAGGACUGUUACUUUGAAAAAUUAGAGUGUUUAAAGCAGGCUCACGCUUGAAUACAUUAGCAUGGAAUAAUGAAAUAGGACGUUUGAUUCUAUUUUGUUGGUUUCUAGGAUCGACGUAAUGAUUAAUAGGGAUAGUUGGGGGCAUUAGUAUUCAAUUGUCAGAGGUGAAAUUCUUGGAUUUAUUGAAGACUAACUACUGCGAAAGCAUUUGCCAAGGAUGUUUUCAUUAAUCAAGAACGAAAGUUAGGGAUCGAAGACGAUCAGAUACCGUCGUAGUCUUAACCAUAAACUAUGCCGACUAGGGAUCGGAUGAUGUUAAUUUUUAAUGUACUCAUUCGGCGCCUUACGGGA
rnacentral:misc_RNA from 1 species